UCGGUGAGAUACAGAUGGCUAACGAGGUCAUUGACUUCAACCACUUUGGGGUAUUCGAAUCUCUCGAAAACACGCACACCAGGUGAAGAAGAAGAAAACCAUCUUCUAUGUAGCGGCGAUGAAGAUAGAAUGGGUGAAAGACAUUUUCUUGGUCCUCUAGAAGGGAAACUAGGAGAUGGAAUUGAUGAAGAAUUUGAAAAAGAUGAAACUGAUGAAGAAAACCAUCUUCUUUGUAGCGAUGAUGAUAGAAUUGACGAAACACGUGUUCUUGGUCCUCUAGAAUGGAAACUAGAGAUGGAAUUGAUGAAAAACAGUACCUUGUCGAUGCAGGAUUUGAAGAAGAUGAAAUUGAUGAUGAAUAGUAUCUUCUUGAUUCGGAUUUUGAAGAAGAUGAAACCGAUGAAGAAAACCCUGGUAGACAUGAUGAAGAUCCGGUACUUUUACGAAACCCUAAUUUCAUCCUCACCUGUUGAAGGAAUCCCAUGUCGCAAUCUUUUCUCUGAUCAAUUGGGAAUUUAGGGUUUGGGGAAGAUCUGUUGUCUUUUCUGAAUUACAUUCUCGAUCUUUCCCAAUUUCCGAGUAAUUGGAAUGAUGGUGAUAAUAUUUAGAAGCUAGGGUUUGGGGAAAGUUUUCUGAUUUCUGAAUCGGAAUUCUCAGGUGAUAAUUGGUUUUACGUGUUAAUACGUUUUUACGUGAGUUUAAUUAGUAUUUAUAUACCAUCCAGUUAUGUGAUUUUAGAAGCCGAAGGAAUUUGGAAGUAUUUCCCCUUUUUUUGGGUUUCAAUGAAGUUUCUAAAUCCUGUUAGCUUCCAAGUCCGGGCACUCCUUGGCUGUUACUUGGCCAAUGCUGGAUUGUGAAUGAUGAUGAGUGUAAGUGGCUCAAGCAGGGAGGCUUUUUCUGUUCAAUCUUUCAAGCACAUGGGUGGAAUGAAAUUGGUGAAGAAGACACUUAUGUUCUUUGAAGCCAUUGGUUAUACACUUGUCCUAUCUUGCUAAAGGGACCAAUGGCGAUGAGCUGAAAAAAGUUUAACACGUCCUCCAGUUUAUCACUUCGCACUGGAGACUUCUUUUCUUGCUGAUGAAAGUGCCUCUCUUCCAGAACUUCCAUUGAAGUUUCCCAUAACUAUUGCCUUGCCCGACAAACCUUUCAGUAUUGAUAGGUCAAGAGCUGCUAUACCUGGAUUUCGGUUGUCCCCACCACAUCCAAACCUCGGGGCUCUCCGUUGAAUAUUGAUUCACAAUCUGACAGGAUAAUCACAUCCCAGAUAACCUCCCCAGCCGCUCCCUGCAAAAGAAGUUUGGUUUUUGCCCAAGUUCCCCAUUUGUCAGUGCACAGAGAAUUUCGAGAUUCUAUGGAGACGGAUGCUUCUGCAUCAAGCAAUUGCCAGGGAAUUGGUGGCAAUCCACGUGCUAAAAAUGCCGAGUUGUUGGGAAAAUAGAUGCUUUAUCUAAUGACUCCCAAAGAAGCCAUAUGGUUUCCAAUUGAUUGUGGAGGUAAUGCAGCUAAGGCGAGGUAAUCAUAUUGCACAAGCUAUAAAUGAAACAACCAGAUGUAAGUCAACAUCUUUACAGCAAGACCGUAAUCACCUUGACGAGCUAGGACCUUCCAAAGUCUAUUUUCCUCCAUCCGCUUCGGAUCAUCAGAGCAUCUUGGAUUCAUCAUCAAUAUGGAGUAGUGUGGAAAGGAGUUAUUUGUGAACAUGCUCAUCUCUUGCGUAUCAAAUACCAUGGCAGCUUUGACAAUCCCUUGGGGAGGUCUCUAUGAGACAAUUUAUUUGUUCAGGUAUCUGCUUUUGGUCUGUUGUUUACUUCUUCUUCCUACACCAUGAUCAUCUGACUGUGACUUGAGCAAUGUACUUGUUCUUCUUUAAGAGUUACUGCUGCACUCCGCGUGAGAUGCCUCAUGCCUCCAGAUGUACAUGUUCACUCUUACUCUCAUCGGCUUCAUGAUAUCUGUUAAGAAGUUUCCGGAGUUUCUCGUACCAGGUGACUAAAUUGAUGUUCACUCAUUAUAUCUUCCACCAUCAAAUCUUGAUUACAGCUACGAAUCCAGACAGAAGGAGAUCAAUCAGGUGCAGUGAUCAGGAACUGAGGUUCCUUGCCUAUACUUCAAAUUAAAGACUUGCAUCAACAAAAAGUGGCUUAUGGAAUCUUGUGUGAUUUUAGAAGACAAAGAAAAUCAUCUGCACCAUCAGCCCACUGAAUACUUAAAUGAAGGUAGAAGUGAAGAACCUCUUGCUGGCUACGUACUUCCACUGCAAUGACUGAGUGUCAUAGAAUCCAUAGUAUUAACUCAGAUGAUACAUGAUUAAUAUUAUUAAAUCUAAAUCAAAUCUUCCACA